rnacentral:misc_RNA from 1 species
UCCGGCUUGUCACCGGCAGUUCCUUCAGAGUGCCCACCCAAUCGUGCUGGCAACUAAAGGCAAGGGUUGCGCUCGUUGCGGGACUUAACCCAACAUGUCACCACACGAGCUGACGACAGCCAUGCAGCACCUGUCUCUCUGUUGUAUUGCUACAAAAACUGUAUUUCUACAGCGGUCAGAGGAUGUCAAACCCAGGUAAGGUUUUGCGCGUUGCUUCGAAUUAAACCACAUGAUCCACCGCUUGUGCGGGCCCCCGUCAAUUCCUUUGAGUUUUAGUCUUGCGACCGUACUUCCCAGGCGGGGUACUUAUUGCGUUAGCUCCGGCUCCACAGGGGUCAAUUCCCAUAAAGCCUAGUACCCAUCGUUUACAGCGUGGACUAC